rnacentral:lncRNA from 1 species
GUAAUGUUUCUAUACUUUUUUUUUUUUUUGUUACCGUUCAUUCACGCGUAUUCGACGGCUCCGAUUUAGUUUUUUUAAAAUUGUGACCUGCAAUAGCAGGUCACUUUGGGAGAGAUACCGGUUACCAGGUACCUCAAAAAAGGAUAUUUUUGUCUUUUAAUAUAUGGACAAUUUAGUCAUUUUAUAUCUACUAUAUUUUCAAUUUUUUUAUUUUUUCUUUGUUUCCUUUUUCUCUCUCUAUCUUUCUUUUC